GUGUGUGUGUGUGUGUGUGUGUGUGUGUGUGUGUGUGUGUGUGUGUGUGUGUGUGUGUGUGUGUGUGUGUGUUUUAUUUGCCUUGUUGAAUCCACUGACUGUGACUGUUAUGAAGACAGUGACAAAUUGUUACUCUCUGUAAUACUCUUGCACAAAAGAAAAAUAAAUAAAUACUAAUUGUA